UUGGAGGGCAAGUCUGGUGCCAGCAGCCUUUUAAAGUUCCAGCUCCAAUAGCGUAUAUUAAAGUUGUUGCACUUUUAAAACUCGUAGUUGAAUUUCGGGGUUAGUAGGUUGGUCAUGCCACUGGUAUGUACUGAUCUUACUGAUUCCUCCUUCUUGAUGAACCGUAAUACCAUUAAUUUGGUGUUGCGGGGAGACUGGACUGUUACUUUGAAAAAAUUAGAGUGUUUAAAGCAGGCUAACGCUUGAAUACAUUAGCAUGGAAUAAUGAAAUAAGACGUUCGAUCCUAUUUUGUUGGUUUCUAGGAUUGACGUAAUGAUUAAUAGGGAUAGUUGGGGGCAUUAGUAUUCAAUUGUCAGAGGUGAAAUUCUUGGAUUUAUUGAAGACUAACUACUGCGAAAGCAUUUGCCAAGGAUGUUUUCAUUAAUCAAGAACGAAAGUUAGGGGAUCGAAGACGAUCAGAUACCGUCAUAGUCUUAACCAUAAACUAUGCCGACUAGGGAUCGGAUGAUGUAAUUUUUUAUGACUCAUUCGGCGCCUUACGGGAAA
rnacentral:rRNA from 1 species